AGGGCAUCUUUGGGAGGCCAAAAUGGGCAGAUCCCCUGAGCUCAGAAGUUUGGGACCAGCCUGGGUAACAUUGUGAGACCCCAACUCUACAAAAACAUACAAAAAUUAGCCAGGUAUGAUGGUGCACGCCCAUAGCACCAGCUACUUGGAAGGCUGAGGUAGAAGACUGGUUUGAGCCCAGGAGGCCCAGGUUAGUAAGCCAAGAUCGUGCCACUGCACUCCAGUCUGAAUGACAGAGCCAGAUCCUGUGUCUGAGACCCUCAACCCCAGCCUCACCGUCUUGUUCCCUUCCCCCCACACCGGUUUUGGUUCCUCCUACUUCCCCAAUUCCUUCAUCCAAAUGCACAGCGAGGACCCUGGCUCCUCCCCAAAAGGCCUUGGCCCGGUCCUCCUUAGGGGGUGCAGGGGGUCCUGCUGGUCUGGACAGCAAGGCAGCCAGCGGGCAGGCAGCGCAGGCAGGAACAGAUGUGGCAGCUCCCGGCAUUUAUUGAUUGCAGCCCCCACAGAGCACACUGCCCUUCCCAGGUGCCCGAGGGACGCAGGCACAAUCCCUGAAGACAGAGACCGCCUGCUG
rnacentral:lncRNA from 10 species